rnacentral:misc_RNA from 1 species
AACGCAACUGGCGCCGGUUUACCGGCAUGCCUGUUUCAGUGUGAUAGGAGAGUAAACUAUCAUUAUAAAAUAUAAUGCGAUUGAGGUACAUUUAUGACUUUCUUUAGUUAAAUAUGAAGGUGUGAAAGAUGAGUAACUCUCAAAUUGGCAAACGAAGUAGACAUGCUUGUUCGUGAUAUCGUUUAACCAGUGCUAAAGGUUUUUGCUUAGCUAUAAAUCACAUCUAAUCAAUUAAAUAACUCCAAAUUUGGCAUCAGCAAGCAGACAAUGAUACCCGAUGAACUAAA